AUGUCAAUUUCCAUGCGAAAUUUUAAAGUUAUAAAGAACUUGAUUCAAAAACAAUUCAAGCGAGAUUUUUGUUUGGUGCAGCCUACUUCCAAAAAAAUCUCUCCAUCAUGGUAUAAUAGCAAGAGAAUUUUACAAAACAAAAAUCUAAUUCAAACUAGAGCACGCACCCUACUAAGUGAUCUGUUUUGGACGUAGAUACUAGAUAGUUCUAUUUAGCUAAGGUAAAGUUUCGGGUUUUUUGUAAGUCAAUAUGAGUUAUAUAGUUACAACUGUUCGGCCAAUUGUAAAUUUAAAUAGUGGUAUAACUUACCUUUGACAGAUGGUUGUGUGUGUGACAAGCAAUGAAAAACAAAAAUUUCCUCACCUUUAUAUUCAAUGUCAGAGAUUUUUUCUCAAGAGAUUUAAUUUACACGUAAAGCAUAAGAAACCAUGGACGUAACCAGAAAGUUUACAGGGGGGUGCAUAUUUAAGAAAAACGGACUCGUACUAGCGAUUUUAUAGUCAGUUCUCGUCCAUUCUUUUAUUUGUCGUAAAACAAAGGCACGUGUAUUUCACGUUCAUCUCAAGCUGCAUGAGGUAAAUGCAAAUCUUGAGAUCGACCUUUGGAAUAUCUUGUGUCGUCGAUAUUAGCAUCUUUAUGUUAAUUUCAAUAGAGCAAAUCAAAGUUCAACUCAAUUUUGUUAUAUCGUUACAAAACGGCAAGUUCUAAUAACUGCUGUCGUCAUAAGUACAUUUAUGAUUUUUUCUUAGUCGAUGACUGUAUUUUAAGCUUUGAACAAAAUGCUUUCGUUUUUCUGUGUUGAAUCAUAUUCCUGGAACUAUUUAUCAUAUAAUGUAAAGAAUAUAGGAACCCUACAGUUUGAUGUAAGUUUUGCAACAACAAUAACAUUUACGGUGUUCGAAAUUUCUUUGCAAUUUUACCAUUAAAUUUUCCAUUUCUUAUUGGCUUAUUAUGGGUUCAUCCUGGUCACAACUAGUGUUAAAAAAAGAAGAAGAACAACUUUUAGAAAAAGCCAGACAAUAUGUGAAGGAAAAAGGACUUGAUGGCAUACGUAGUUUCCACAAUGAACUAGAAGCUACAUGGGAGAAGCUUGAGUUAUAUUUUGCCGUAAUUGGAUCAAGCAAUUCAGGAAAGUCGUCGUUCAUCAACAACAUAAUAGGAUCUGAAGCAUACGAAGAAGUGUCAUCACUAAAUGACGUAUCACCUUCGAGGAAAACGUAUCCUCAUCCUAAAUACCAAAAUGUCAAACUCUGUGAUCUGCCAGGCAUCGGAACACCUGAAAAUCCCAAUGUUGAAACAUAUUGCAGGAACAUCGGUGAUCUCAAGAAGUACGACGCAUUUCUAAUUUGUAGCAAAUCCAGCUUCACAAACCAUGAGAUAGAACUGGUUAAAAAAGUUUCAAAAGAGCUCCAAAGGCCUUUCGUCUGUAUUCAUACGCAUGGGCAUGUCGAUGUAACGAAUGACGAAGACUGCUUUGACAAGCUGAAAGGUUUGGUAAAAGAUACAAGUGAUAUCUACGUAAUUGACAACAAUGAUACAGAAAAAUAUGACUUUGACAGUCUACGCGACGAUGUCAUUUUAAAGUUGCUUAAACGUCGUAAAGAGUAUUUUUUGAAUUGUUUGAACGGUGUCAUUUACGGUAACAAGGAUUUAAGCCAACAAGAAAAACAUCUAGAAGAAGCAAAGUUUCACGUUGGUAAACAUGGUUUGAUUGAUGUUGAUGAUUUUAUUCAAGAUCAAAUUAAAUCAUGGAGAAACAUGGUGUACACAUUGCCAUAACAGGAGGUUCUGGAGCAGGGAAAUCAUCUUUCAUCAACGCUGUGAGAGGACUUAAACCUUAUGAAAAGGGUGCAGCACCAAUUGGCUUCUGUGAAACUACAACAGUGCCCACUGAAUAUAUUCACCCUGAAAAUGAAAACAUCAAACUCUGGGAUCUACCUGGCAUUGGAACACAUAAAUAUCCUAAUAUUGAAGAAUAUUGCAAGAUUGAGGGUGGUCUAAAGAAGUAUGAUGCUUUUCUUAUUUUUUCCAAAUCUCGGUUCACUUACCAUGACAAAGAACUGAUUGAGAAAGUUUCAAAAGACCUCGGCAAACCUUUCUUCUUCGUUCGGACCAAUGUUGACACCGAACUCAAAUAUGCCGAGGAGGACGAAGGACCAAAGUUUGAUGAAGCAUCUGCCUUGGAAAAAAUGAAGAAAGAUUGUUUCAUAAACCUGAAAUGCUUAAUUCAUAGUGAAAAAGAUAUCUACAUGAUUGGCAACAAGGUUCCAGAAAAAUAUGAUUUCAAUCGUUUGCAUGAAGAUAUCAUUUCAAGGUUGCAAAAACGUCGAAUUGAGAGCUUUCUAAAGUCUUUGAACAUUGUUAUUUACAAAAAUUAAGUCAAUGAACGAAGAUGAUCAUUUUUAUUAGUUAAUUUCGACAUCACACAAACCUUAAUAUUUCUGAAAUCAAAUAGGAUGAGCGAAAACUGUAUGAUUGUUUUUUUAAUAGGUUUUUAAUAUAACCAUGUAUGCAUGAAUGAAAGGCAAGACUUGUGUUACAAGGGUGAAAGUUUGCUUCAGAACAAAAGCUGUAUAUACUCAAACCUUGUCAACUAGUAUACAGCACUAUAUUUAUAUUAACAAACAAUUUUAUUUUGUGAUUUUGGUUUCUAACUAUCCAACCUGAAAUAUGUAUGUUAACUUUUUAUUUUUAUUUUCUUAUAUUCUUUUACACAUAUACUUAUAGUCUGCUUUACAUAAAGGUUAGUUUAUUCAAUGUUUUUGCACACGAUGAAAUAUAGGAGAUUCUAGAAUGGAGGUCAA